GAUGAACGCUGGCGGUAUGCUUAGCACAUGCAAGUCGAACGGACUCUUCGGAGUUAGUGGCGGACGGGUGAGUAACGCGUGAGAAUCUGGCUUUGGGUUCGGGACAACCACUGGAAACGGUGGCUAAUACCGGAUGUGCCGAGAGGUAAAAGAGAAAUUGCCUGAAGAUGAGCCCGCGUCUGAUUAGCUAGUUGGUGAGGUAAAGGCUCACCAAGGCAGCGAUCAGUAGCUGGUCUGAGAGGAUGACCAGCCACACUGGGACUGAGACACGGCCCAGACUCCUACGGGAGGCAGCAGUGGGGAAUUUUCCGCAAUGGGCGAAAGCCUGACGGAGCAAUACCGCGUGAGGGAAGAAGGCUCUUGGGUUGUAAACCUCUUUUCUUAGGGAAGAACAAAAUGACGGUACCUAAGGAAUCAGCAUCGGCUAACUCCGUG
rnacentral:rRNA from 1 species